CCACUCUUGCUGUGCAAACUCAAUUUCCUGUAUCCUACUCUACGUAUUUUCGAAGCAGUCAUCGCCAUAUGGUAUACUCUCUCUAGAUUAUUUUCUUGGGCAUUUGCCUAUUGUCACCUUUUCUUCUCACUAGCAUGUGGCUCCAUGAGGGCAAAUACUUAAUCUGUUAUGUUCACUGGGGCAUCUCCAGAACUUGCCUGAAACCCAGUAGGUGUUCAAUAAGUUCUGGAGGGAUGAAUGAAUGACUCCUCUCACUGUAAGGAAGUUUGGGAUAUGUAGUCUAUCUGGGCACAUUUCUAUCUGUUCUCUUUGCAGGGGAGAAAGGGAUGAGGAUGUUGGAUAAGCAGCUCAGCAUGUUCCCCAACAUGUAAGGGAAUCAGGUCGAGUUCUACACUCUCCUUCUUGGUACACAUCCUCAGAAUGCAGGAAGUGCCUGUGCUUGCUGUGAGUCUUUGUGGACAGAGGCAGGAUCAUGCUGGCUAGAAUCUAGUGGACAAGGGCAGCACAUUCCCCCUGUUCCCAGGUGGGUCCAGAGAUGUCGCCUGGGAGCCAGGGCCUGGAGUUCUGUUACUGUGGCUGAGCUUGCACCCAAGCUACAAGAUGACAUCCUACUCUUCCCUCACCUUUCUACAAGUAGAGGAGUCUCUUCUCAUGGCCACCAUUGUCCCAGGAUGUGAGGUCUGGAACAGCUGCAGCCAUUUUGCCACCAUGGGAAACCUGGGACAUCUGAACUGACUCCAUGAAGCCUGAAGAGAAAGCUAAUAAGAAGGCAGAGAGAAGAGGAAGAGUCUUGGUCUUUGGAAAUAUCUUUUGGAGCUGCUGGAUCAAGUAUCACUUGAAGUAUUAUUGAAUUUAUUCCCCGAAGGAGAGCGGCUAAGAGUAUUGCCCAGCCACAGGCUCUCAACCACCAACCCGAGCCUCAGAUUCUCCUCACACAGCCACAGCUGUACCACAUGGCCCACGUGAAAUCUGAAUCCACAUGAAAACAAUGGCAACAAGAAAAAGGUGUAAACUUUCCAGAACAGGCCCAGAAUUUGAAAAUGUGAUAAAGAGGUUAUUGUGCGCCCGAACUUUUCACACAAGAAUUGGAGGAGAUUUAACACAUGGAAUAAUAAACAGAGGAAGGCGGGCUAAUGCAGAGCAGAUGGGCCUGCAGGGCAGUGCUCAGCAUUUCAACAUCUUUCCCCUGGACCUUUGGACCCAAGGUAAGAAAACUGAAGUUCAGAAAAGGGAGGGGACUGACUCAAUCCCAGCUGCUGGCAGAUCUGGGACUGCAAACCAGCCUUCCAUUGCUCCACACAGGUGUCUCUUCUCACGUGGAAUCACAGCAUUGGAUGGACUGAAAAGAGGAAGAGGCUGCAAUGGAGCAGCACACCUGGUGCGUGGGGAUGCCUGGAAAACAAAAUUAGGAGAGCCCUGGGUCAGCAUUGCUCUGGCACUGGCUGGGCCGGGGGCCAUCCUGAUUCUAGAAUUAUCUUGGUUCCUGGGAUAGAAAUGUCCCCAGAGUGGAGAAGUUCAGUUCAAUCCAACAUCCUUAUAUUGCAAUGAGGAUAAAGACCACAGACCCUAUGGCCUGUAUGACCCAGCUGCCCAUUUCUAGGAACCCAUUCCUACAGAAAUGACAACAUGCGUGUGCAAACAGCAACAAUGACAAACAUACCCUGGGAUGCUUUCCCUCUGUGGUUUGUUAUAGUAAGAUAGCGGCUACAGCUUAUAUAUCAUCAACAGAGGACUGGCUAAAUGAUGGCACUUCAUUCUGCAGAAUCUUUUUUUGUAGUCAAAAAGAACAAGUUAGAUCUAUAUGUGUGAACAUGGAAAGGUGUACAUGACUUAAGUAGAAAAAUUAAGUUGCAGAACGA
ensembl:lncRNA APRG1 APRG1 tumor suppressor candidate